AAAUAAUAGCGUCAACUUGGAAGAUUUCUAUCUGCUCAAUGUUCGAAAAUACACACAUACUCGAAUCCAAUAAUCCAAUGGACAUGAAGCUGCUUCAGGUUUGGGCUGGUAAAAAGUUGAGCUUUUUAAAGCAACACGUAACAAUGAGAGUGAGUGAGAGGGGGACCAGUAGUGGAUUUGUAGGCACAAAAAAUGUGAAUACCUUUGAAUGCUAGAGAAUGAAAGCGUAUGUCCUUAUGAUGCUCGACGUACAGGUAAAAAGACGUACGUACGAGGACCGUGUAAUAAAGCUCACCUGUUGAACACACACAGGUCCGCGGAAUGGAACUUCACCCUUUUUUACUAGGCAUCCACCACUAUAUGCCUACCAUUUGCACUACAAAUUCACCGGAUAGUGGGAACAUUAUAAGGAAAGUGAAUAACCCCAACAAUGGACAGGAUCUUACCACAAGGAACAAGAAACCAGCAACACAGUGUUUAUUCCCGUGACGGAUUUAUUUAUGUGUACAUGAGGACGACGAUACAAUAGGGAAGGAACAAUAUCAAGGAAUUGAUGAUGAUGAUGACGACGAGAGGAGGCUUCUAUUUGCAGAUGAAAUGAGAUUGAAAGACAGGAGUUAUGUACAUCAAAGAAGAGAAGAUCUAGUCUUAUGAUGUUGCUUUUUUAAAUGGGUUCGAUGGGAAGAUGAGAUGAGUUUAAACUCAUCAAAUCAAUAUUUCAUUCUUGCUAGUCUCAUAAUUUUAAUCAAUAUGACUAAAGUGCCGGCUUUAUUAUUAAUUAUCGUAUAUUAUCAUCAUGUCAUUCGUCUAUUCUAAUUUUUCUGGAGAGAAUUAUUUGUCUCCUCGUCUGUAUUACAUAAUAAUAUCGUGAAGGCAAUAUUUUAUAAAAAAUAAUAAAU